UCCGUGUUGACCACGGCAGUAUCCCAUGAGUUCCCACCAUAACGUGCUGGCAACAUAGGACGAGGGUUGCGCUCGUUGCCGGACUUAACCGAACAUCUCACGACACGAGCUGACGACAACCAUGCACCACCUGUAUACGAGUGUCCAAAGAGUUCUGUAUCUCUACAGCGUUCUCGUACAUGUCAAGCCUUGGUAAGGUUCUUCGCGUUGCAUCGAAUUAAUCCGCAUGCUCCGCCGCUUGUGCGGGCCCCCGUCAAUUCCUUUGAGUUUUAGCCUUGCGGCCGUACUCCCCAGGCGGGGAACUUAAUGCGUUAGCUACGACACAGAACCCGUGGAACAGGCCCUACAUCUAGUUCCCAACGUUUACGGCAUGGACUAC
rnacentral:misc_RNA from 1 species